GGAAGUAAAAGUCGCAACAAGGUUUCCGUAGGUGAACCUGCGGAAGGAUCAUUACUGAGUGAGGGCCCCUCGGGGUCCAACCUCCCACCCGUGUUUAACGAACCUUGUUGCUUCGGCGGGCCCGCCUCACGGCCGCCGGGGGGCAUCUGCCCCCGGGCCCGCGCCCGCCGAAGCCACCUGUGAACGCUGUCUGAAGUAUGCAGUCUGAGACAAUUAUUAAAUUAAUUAAAACUUUCAACAACGGAUCUCUUGGUUCCG
rnacentral:misc_RNA from 1 species